CGCAUCUGUGCAUGCAGCAUAUCAAUAAGCGGAGAAAAGAAACUAACAAGGAUUCCCCUAGUAACGGCGAGUGAAGCGGGAAGAGCUCAAAUUUGAAAUCUUAAAGGGUUUCCCUUUACGAAUUGUAGUUUAAAGAAGUGUUUUCUGUUGAGGUUUUGGUAAAAGUUCUUUGGAAUAGGACAUCAUAGAGGGUGAGAAUCCCGUAUUUGACCUUUACUUUCAACUUUGUGAUACACUUUCAAAGAGUCGGAUUGUUUGGGAAUGCAGUCCAAAAUGGGUGGUAAAUUUCAUCUAAAGCUAAAUAUUGGCGAGAGACCGAUAGCGAACAAGUACCGUGAGGGAAAGAUGAAAAGAACUUUGAAAAGAGAGUUAAACAGUACGUGAAAUUGUCAAAAGGGAAGCGUUUGACACCAGUGUUGUUUUUCUGAAAAUCAAUUAAAGAACUGUUUAUGCUAAGCUGUUUAGACUUUAUCAGCUAACUGUUUAGUUUUGAGCUUUUCUUUAAUGCACUUUUCAGUUAACAAGUCAACAUCAAUUUCUUUUGCUGUAAAAAAGCUUGAGGAAGGUGGCUUGAGAUUCGUCUUAAGUGUUUAUAGCCUCUUGCCUAUGCAGUCGGAGAGAUUGAGGUCUGCAGCGUAGAUCCUUCGGGGCUAAAUGCAUUUGUGCUAAGUUAUAGCAUUUUAUAGACAACUUGUUGACUAUGAUUUGUCUUGUAACUUACUCGCUUAUGUUAUUUUACCUACGCUUAGGAUGUUGAACGCGCACAGAGUCUC
rnacentral:rRNA from 1 species